ACUCCUCAUGAACAUGGAAUUAUAACAAGAUAUAAAGCUCAAAUCUAAACAAUUGAUGGUGAUAUACACACCAAAUAAGGGCUGUUCACUUUAAUUUAUCAACCCUUUGUUUUUGAAUUUUGGGGGAUUUUUUCUGUUUGACUUUCUGCAUUGAGUUGUUCUUCUUGUGUCAUCUAUCCUGAAUUAUUGAUCAAAAAGUAAAAAAAUUGUAAAGAGAAAAAUGUUUCUCCCAAAAGGAAGGAUGGAGAUAGAAAAUUCCAUGAAACAACAGGUCUUGUUUUUAUUUGUUUUUUGUUUGUGUAUUUUGUCUGGUUGCAGAGAGGAUCACACCUGUCGACAACAAACAAAGGUUUAAGAACUACUGACUUUUCAGUCAGAAAUGAUCACACCGCCUGGUUGAAGUCUCCAUAUGCAAGUCAACAAAGCAGAGAGGAAACACCCGAUUGACAACAUGCGAGUCUCAAUUUCAACCUGUGACUGGGAAGACUACAACCAUCCUGAGCAAAGUCUGAACUCAGUGACUCUCAACCCAGAACAAGAAUCGUUUUAUCACCGGUUUUUCUUCUACAACA